UGAAAAACUCUUCUAAUGGAAUCCAGCUUGAAAGCUACUCAAGAGCAGCUAACUGAGCAAAUAGCAGAAACAGUUUGCCAAGAACAGAACAGUAGAAAACCCCAGGCAGAGCUGAAGACAGUGACAGAAGGGAUUAUUGCUUCUGAAGAAGAAAAAAAUGAUUACAAGAAAAUAAAUAUGAGCCUCAGCAUGUCAAUUCUACACAGAUUUGCAAGUGUAGACCAAAGAGUAUUAACAAGAAAAGCAAGAAAUAUCUAAGAAAACCUUCUGAAUGUUCAUUAAGAAACAUGGUCAUAGAGGUCUUUUCACCUUUUGAAUAAAU
rnacentral:lncRNA from 13 species